UAAGUGCACUUGUAUAUAAAUAGAAAAUAAACAUACAAGGAUUUUUCAGAGGCGUAAUGUAAUAAGUACACUUAUGCCUGUUUAGAUUAAUAUGUAAGGCAACACUUGCAGUGUGAUAAUGUUUCAAGUGCCUUUACCUAAUUAACUGAAAACACCUAAGUAUCAUGUUAAACAAUUAAACAAGAUAGCAGAUGUUUUGUCUUGUACCUGGAAUGGAAUGUGAACAUAAAAGCUUAUGUUUUCAUCAAGUAAGGAAGGCAAUGUAUUAAAUAAUAGAAAUAAUGCAAAAUAUACACUGAAUAGAAAACGCAAGGCACAGCCAGAAAAGUGGAAACUAAAUAUUUGAAAGAAACGACGCAUGCUUGGACUACAGUACACAAAUACAAAAGGGAAGACUGUUGAAGCAAAGCGGCUAUUAGAUGCUCGUUGCAACUGCAGAUAUAAAUGUAGAAAAAUCUUCACACAUGAGCAAAGAGAUGCAGUUUUUCAAAACUACUGGAAUAUUGGAUCCUACGAACGCCAAAAGGACUUUUUAUGUUCCAAUGUGAAGGAAAACACUCCUGAGAGAGUUCGUUCAAGUGCAAAGAAGAGACGUGUGUGUUCAAGAAGCUUCUACCUUGACAAUAAGCGAGUCUGUAAAGAUUUUUUUCUUAGAACGUUAAAUAUUGGAAAAAGGGUGGUAGAAACGGCUUUGAAGUCCUCAUCCACUGGAAUAUUUGCUGCAUUUGACAAAAGAGGGAAACAUACACCACACAAUAAGACCCCAGAAGCAGUGAUUAACCAGGUUAGACAGCAUAUUGAAUCUUUCCCUACGGUUGAGGCCCACUAUACAAGGCAAGACACAAGGAGAAAUUUUCUUGGAAGUGAUCUUAAUAUCACAUAGAUGUAUAGGUUAUAUAAAGAGAAGUGUGUAGCAGAGAAAAAGAAAGCUGUCAGUGCAUCAAAGUACAGAACAGUAUUCUGUGAGGAAUAUAAUAAUUCAUUUCAUGUACCUAAAAAAGAUCAAUGUCAAACAUGUGUCGUAUACCACCAGAAAGAGACAGAUGGUGAAUUAACAGAAACCAUCAAACAGGAUUACGAAGAGCACAUUAAAAGAAAGUUAAAAGCAAGAGCUGAGAAAUAAAACGACAAAACUAAACCCAAAGAAGAUAAAUCAUACUGUGUUGCUACUUUUGACUUGGAAGCGGUGUUGCCAGUUCCGUGUUGACUUGUCAGUCAAGUCUACUAUAAGCGGAAACUAAGUUGUUUCAAUUUGUCGUUCUAUUCUUUGGCAGAUGCAAGUGUGACUUGCUACCUGUGGAAUGAAACCGAAGGCAACAGGGGAUCGUGUGAGAUAGGAACUUGCAUACAGACUUACAUACAGUCAUUGCCAGUGACAACAAAACAUCUGUGCCUUUACUCAGAUUGUUGUUCAGGACAGAAUCGAAACAGGUUCAUUUCAUCAGCUUUGCUACAAGCCAUCAGUAAAAGUCCUAGUUUAGAAACAAUCGAUCAAAAAUAUCUAGAAACAGGACACACUCAGAUGGAGAGUGAUUCGGUGCAUGCAGCAGUAGAAAAUGCUAAGAGGCGUACUUCAGUCUUUGUUCCAAGCGAAUGGGACACAAUCGUUAGAUUUGCUCGGAAGAAAAAAUUCUAUACAGUUGUGCCUAUGAAACACUAUGACUUCCAUAAUUUAAAGUGUCUGGCAAAGUCUGUAUUUCCACAAAAUAUCAUUGAUCUUGAAGGAAGAAGAAUUCAAUGGAUGAAAGUUAAGAGGCUCCAAUUUCGAAAAGCAGACAUAAGCAAUAUUUAUGUCAAGCAUGACUUUGACGAGGAAUUCCAGUGCAUAAAAAUCAAACAGUCACGAAAAGGUAUUUCUCUCAGUUCAAAGCUACCACGACUGUAUACUGAGAAACUGCCAAUAACAACUGCUAAAAAGAAAGAUUUAAUUUCUUUGUGUAGAAAUGGAACAAUACCCUCGGAGUAUCACAAAUACUACGAAGAUAUACCAGAUGACAAAAAUGUGAGAGACUGCUUACCAGAUUCUGACCACUGGAAAGUGAUAGAGACUCCGACCCAGAGUAAGGAUCAGCUUGAUUGAGUUUUGUUACAAUACAUGCAUAGGUGUUGUAUUCAGUGGACAGUUGAAAUCAGUAGACAGUUAAAUUGGUACAAAAGAAACAGUAAAAUGUAUAGUGACAGAGGUCUCUUCAUAAACAAUAUUUACAGAGAGGACUAUAUGAAAGUUUUGUUUGACAAUAAAUGUUACUUGUGA